rnacentral:lncRNA from 1 species
CAUGUCAUGUGAUAGCCAUCACCCCUGCUGUUGUUGUAUCACAGGAAGUGACCAACUGGAAGUGACCAAAGUUAAAACUGGUCUGCAUUCAGGUCUAGUUUCAACGGUUUUGCUGGCAUUUAGCUAUGCUAUUAUAUUUAUUGUAUCACACAAGAUAAAACUUUAAAAAGUUUCACAGUUGUUUAUUUCUUCAGCGUGGUUCUCGUAACAUGUACUUCCAUGUUUAAAUCUCGUGCGUAGCACGUGAAUAAAUUACUGGCAAAGCACUGGCAAUUUCCCGCCAAGUAAACAAAGUAAAAUGUUCGCCCAGGAUAAACUCGAGUAUAAAGUAUUAUAAAAGUGCAAAUAAAAUGUCGUUCAAUCUGAACGCUUUGCAGCAAUAAACGACAUUAUAAUAUUAUUGUAGAUUUCAUUAGGUAAAGCACAGUGGGUAAAGACUAAAGUGAUCAUUUAAUGUAUGUGUAUAUACAUGCCAUGGACUAUAUCCACACGGCACACGCCACAAUUCACAAAUGACAUUUUUAUGUCGUUGACAUUGGAAAAAUCCAAUCAGUUUCUGCGUUACAGUUGUGUGCAAUAAAAUAAUGGACUAGCUUCCUAGCUGUGUGAGAAAGCAUUAGCUUUUCGGUCCAAUAAGCACAAUAUUGUCUGCUAUAAUUGUGGACAUACAUGCCAUGAGGCAUGCAUGACCUUGACGUGGCGCCCAUGCAGCACAACAAUGGCGUCAGACGUCUCUCGGUACUUUCCCAAGUUGCUGAAGCAACAAUGUGGUCGUUGACCAUGUGUACCUUUUGCCUUUACUCGUUAGGCUUUGGACAGGGUAGUUGGCGUCCUGUUUCUUGGUUUUAUAGGCCUUUCCACAGCCAUUGCCUUCUUGCUUCAUUCCCCGUUUAAUUGGCUUUGUAUGGCCGUUGUUGGCCUCGUCAGAUAUUUUGCCCGUUGGGCUUUAUAUGGCCGUUGGCCUCAUAUGCCUUAAUAAGGCUUUAGUUUCACUUGCUCCUCUUAGGAGCGGUCUGUAUAGACCAUAGGUAGCUUUUCCCCAUUGUGGGUGUACUGGAUUGCUUGUAUUUGCCGCUCAACUCUGGAGCACAAGCGUGAAUUUUGUUUGUGGCUGCCCGCCAUUGCAUGUCAUCAUUUAUAUAUUUAUUGCCCAUUUGAUUCGUUUUUCCCUAAACGAGAAUAAGAAACAAAACAACAAAAUAGCAAAAUAACAAAACAAUAUACUCCCUGUUUGCCUUGUGCAAAAAUUAUGUUCAACAAGCCGAUGAUGAUGAACGAUUCUUUACGAUUUACUCGCAUAAAUUUCUUCACGUUGUUUAUGCCCAGAAAGACGCAAGCACAAAUUGCCUAGAUAGCUCGCGCGCGCUCUCUCAUGUAAUUCCGUAGUGACGUAGACUGAUGACGUAGUAGAAU